UGCUCAGCUAAAGUGACUCCCUUU
rnacentral:miRNA from 1 species